GCGGACCUAGCUCAGCGGUAGAGCACCGGACAUUUUCUCCGGAGGUCGCGGGUUCGAUUCCCGUUGUCUGCU
rnacentral:tRNA from 1 species